UGAAAUUAAAAAAAAAACCACAAAUCACGGUUAUUGUAUUGCUGUUCUAAUUUUCACAAUUGAAAUGACAAUGUUUCUGCGCCCUUCCUCUCUAUGGACCUCACAAUUUCAUUUCUUCCCUGUACCUGUUAUUCUCUCAAGAUAACUGUUCACUGUUCUUCGAUAUCUCAACCAUUAUUUUUCUCCAUUAUUUUUCUCCAUUAUUAAAUUAGAGGCAAUGGAGAAGACGGUAACGCUUGGCUUUGCAGGCAUGGCAUGGGUAUCUUGAAGGCAUGCAUAUGCAUGUCAAUAUUGUUAAUCAUGGGGAAAGAUAAUUGCUGGGCUUUUGUGGAUUUUGCACCAUCAAUUUGACCUCACCUGAACAUUGUCGGUGAUACAGAUGGGUGAUAACUUGCUGAGAUCAGUCUUGGUUGUGAAAAUAAAGAACAAAAAGAGGCAAACAACAGAGGUUAGAGAAAUAGAAAAUCAAGACAAGCAAUGGUUUUUGAAAAUUCAAAAACCAAAAGGAAAAAAAAAAUAGUUUCUUGUUUCUUUAGAAAAAGAAAACGAAAGUGUUACUGAAUGAGCCCUAAACAACCAAUGAAAUUUAAAACCACCGUCCAACUUGAUCCCAAUUUCAAAUCUAUGAGCCUCCAGUUCUCACCAAAGAAUUAACAAUGCAAAAUGUCACUAAUAUUUUUUUUUGGCAAAGGCAAAAUAUCACUAAUAAAACCCCCAAGUCAAUCAUCCAAUCGAAUAAUAAAUUUCAAUUAGAGAAAAACUAAAGAAAGAAACAGCAUUAAAAAGCGAAACUGCACCUU
rnacentral:misc_RNA from 1 species